UACUAUCGCAGACUUUCGCGGUGCGGAGCAUGUUGCGUAAGUUAGUACACCAGCGACCACCGACCGAAUAGAAUCACCGUCGACCCUAUGAUCUCCUGCAGCAGGAUGCAACGGACCGAACGUCCAAACCAUGAUACUAUAUUAAAAUGAUAAACGGGUCUGAAAACGAGUGCGACCGGUUCGCGGAUCGGUCACGGAAAACGGAUUUAUUAAAAUCGAAGCGCAUAUACUUGAGCACAAGUUUAUUAUACAAUACAAUAAUAUACACGCUGAUACGAGGAUAGUGGUCAUCCCGGUCGGGAAGAAUAAUAUACUGGUUUUCGCAGCCUGGACCCUGGGAAAUGCUAUGCACAGUGAUCGGGAACGGGACGGUUCUGCAGGGAAAGAGAUGUAAAAUUGUAAUAACAAUAAUGAUAAUGUGUUUUAUUAUUUACGCAUAGGUGUAUGAUCGUCGCGGUGACCGUCAUUUGAAUAAAAUCCAAUCGAUACAAUAUGCGAAAAUAUCCGUCGGACGACGACGACGACCACCGACUCGCGGAGGAGCUGCAGCACAAAGCGACGACACAACAAAACGUGUACAUCCAAAAGUCUAAGAACGGAAUCAACAGAGCCAGAUAUUACUAUAAUAAUAGUUGGAAACAAAGACGAUACGACAAAGGAAACACAAUGUACCAUAUACCCAGUCACAAUAUCAUUUCGGUUAAUUUGACCACCUUAACUGUACGGUUUGGUAGCAAUAAAACGAGUAAAUUCUGAAGUCGUACCGGGACAGUGAACGUUAUAAUUAGUGUAUUGAUUAUGAAAUAAAUAAUGCUGAUGAACCCGAUCCAUUCAACUUGGGCAUGCCACUCUGAAUUUCAGAGUCAACAAGACGUGCAGGAAAAUACAUAGAUCGGCUAGACUUGGGCGUGAGGUACUAUCACGCUGUUCAACGACACUCGACGGGACGUGCGCGGAAGUCGUACAUGCAUUAUAAUAAUAUUAUUAUAGGUACCUAUCGUAUAACGUGCUUUGCUAUCAUCACUCGGAGAGAGAACAGAAAAAUAAUAUAAUAAUAGAAAAAACGAAAAUCGUGCGCG